rnacentral:rRNA from 1 species
AGUGAACGCUGGCGGUAGGCCUAACACAUGCAAGUCGAACGGCAGCACAGUAAGAGCUUGCUCUUACGGGUGGCGAAUGGCGGACGGGUGAGGAAUACAUCGGACUCUACUUUUUCGUGGGGGAUAACGUAGGGAAACUUACGCUAAUACAGCAUACGACCUACGGGUGAAAGCAGGGGAUCUUCGGACCUGGCGGGAUUGGAUGAGCCGCUGGCGGAUUAGCUUGUUGGUGGGGUAGUGGCCUACCAAGGCUCCGAUGGGUAGCCGGCCUGAGAGGGUGACCGGCCACAUUGGGACUGAGAUACGGCCCAGACUCGUACGGGAGGCAGCAGGGGGGAAUAUUGCACAAUGGGCGGAAGCCUGAUGCAGCAACGCCGCGUGCGGGAUGACGGCCUUCGGGUUGUAAACCGCUUUCGCCUGUGACGAAGCGGGAGUGACGGUAAUGGGUAAAGAAGCACCGGCUAACUACGUG